rnacentral:rRNA from 1 species
CUUUUGCGCCAAAGAGGACUUUUAAUUCAACAUCGAGGUCAUAAACUCACUUGUCAAUUAGAACUUUUAAAGUGAAUUAAGCUGUUAUCCCUAAAGUAACUUAUUCUUCUUUGAAAAAUUUAAGAUAUUAGGACUUAUUAAGUCUUCAAAAUGAAGAAAAGCUAUUUUUCCUACCGCCCCAGUAAAAUAUUUAUUGUCUUUCCUAAAAUAGUAAAUAUAAAGUUUUAUAGGGUCUUCUUGUCUUUAAGAAUCAUUUUAGCCUUCUUACUAAAAGUCAACUUCAUUUUUUUACCUUAAAAAAGUCUUUUCCAGUUGGACAUCCNACCCCAG